UACGUAGGGUGCGAGCGUUAAUCGGAAUUACUGGGCGUAAAGCGUGCGCAGGCGGUGAUGUAAGACAGGUGUGAAAUCCCCGGGCUUAACCUGGGAACUGCAUUUGUGACUGCAUCGCUGGAGCGCGGCAGAGGGGGAUGGAAUUCCGCGUGUAGCAGUGAAAUGCGUAGAUAUGCGGAGGAACACCGAUGGCGAAGGCAAUCCCCUGGGCCUGCACUGACGCUCAUGCACGAAAGCGUGGGGAGCAAACAGG
rnacentral:rRNA from 1 species